GGUGGCUCAGUGGUAGAGUGCUUGCCUAGCAUGCAUGAAGGCCUGGGUUCAAUUCCUCAGCACCA
rnacentral:tRNA from 1 species